rnacentral:lncRNA from 1 species
AUCAUCAACCAUCCUCGCCUCGCCCCAAGUACCAACCUCAACCACCAUCAACCACCAUCGGCUUGCCCAAAAAUCAUCCCCGAAACGCCCCAAGAAUCAGGAAAAGCCAAGAAGCACGCCUUAACAUACCAGGAAAAAUGUGCCCCAACUGUUUGUUAAAAAUCCUCAACCAAGGGUUCCCAUGUUUGAGCUCAAAACCAAACCAAGAACAACAUACCUGCUUUUGGUUCUACACACAAAUCCUAAAAAUCCUCACCAAAGUGUUAUAGCCAGAUCCGAAGAUACAACUUGCUAAAUGACUAUGAACUUCACGAACUUGAACGAUGUGUUUGUAAAAACAAAUGUAUACUAAAAAAUUCAACGAACACAUAACAAAUUAGGGGGAAAAAGAAAAUACAAACGGAAAACAAAAAAACCAAAUAAAUCAGGGGAAUAUAAAAUCUCAUCCAUUCUUACGAAUAGAACAAGAUAUCAAAGCAAUUGAAAAAUGACGAAUACAACUAUUUUCACGAAGUACAACAUAUAAAAUUCAUCGCACUGAUUUUUUUUUUCUCCUGGGUUUUUACCUUUAUUUUUCUGGCGUUGCAUCUUGAAUUGCCUUGAACAAAAUCGAAAUAUGGAAGAAUCCUGUUAAACGAAGGCCCUCUGAUACAGAAAUCUGUAUCAAAUAGAUAAAUUCCUAUUUCCAUCUUCAUCAACAAGGCAAGUGAGCAAAAAUCGGGGUUUGAUUGAGUUUCUAUAAUUCUACCCAAAUGAAAUUGACUGUUCUAUCCCUUAAUCUUAUGAAAUAAAGAUUUCCAAUGAUUUAGAGUUAAUUAGAUUUGGGAUCGCAUUGAAUCAGAGCCGUGUGAUGAGCGAAAAUCAACGUACUGGAUUCUUCUCAUUUCUAAGUCUAAGGGGUUUAUCUCAAUGGAAUCAAA